UACGAAGGGUGCAAGCGUUACUCGGAAUUACUGGGCGUAAAGCGUGCGUAGGUGGUUUGUUAAGUCUGAUGUGAAAGCCCUGGGCUCAACCUGGGAAUUGCAUUGGAUACUGGCAGGCUAGAGUGCGGUAGAGGAUGGCGGAAUUCCCGGUGUAGCAGUGAAAUGCGUAGAGAUCGGGAGGAACAUCUGUGGCGAAGGCGGCACGCUGGACCCUCUCUGACGCUGAGGCGCGAAAGCCAGGGGAGCGGAACGGG
rnacentral:rRNA from 1 species